UUAAAUAUAAUAUAUAAAUAUUAUUUAAUAUUGAUAAUAUUGAUAAUAUUAAUAUUUAAUGAUUCGAUUGCAAGUAAAAUCUAUCUAUAUCUACUUAAAAAUUGCAAAAAUCAAAGAAAUAGAAGCAUGCAGGGGCUUCCAUCAAAUUUAUUACAUUCGAACACGUUCAAUACAGAUUCAAUGAACACAUAUAUACAUUCCAAUCAUUGUUUCUUGAGAGAAAUCAUAAAAUAGAAGAUAAUAGGUAAAAACCUAUUUUAUUUAUCGACGAAAAAAUUUAGAAUAGUUAGCUAAAAAUAAAUCGACGACCAAACUGCAAUCAGUUUUAAUGUAAAAAAAAAAAAUAAAAAAAUAAAAAAAAAAUAAAAAAAAAAAUAAGAAAAGAAAAUAAUCGAAAUAUGAUAUACACAUAUACAUUUCUGCAUUUUUGCGAAUACAAAUCGUGCAUAAUCUUAUUUGAGAAACCUAUUUUUUCUGCAUUCUCGUUUCCGUAAUAGUUGUACAUAAUAUAUAACGAAACGAAAUAGUACAGAUAUGCGAGAGAAAGAGAUAAAAUAUUUUUUUUUCUUUUAUCUCUUCCAACGCACAUAGGUAAAUGAUGUUUGCGAAUAAACGAUAGAUAAGCGAAUGAAGUAAUAUUAUUUACAGAAACACCAGAAUAUAACACCAGAGUUCGAAUGGUGAUCAUCGUUUAAAAAAUACGUGUUAUGAUGUAAUUAAUUAUAUAAUUGUUAAAAAUAAAAAAAAAAGAAAAAGCGUGCAUGUGCCGAUUAUAAUCAACGAUGUAUUUAUAUACGCCAGAAAAUUGCCGGAAUCGAAUCGCACGUCAAGAUUUAUUCUUCUAAUUACGCUUGCGUAAUGAAAUGAUAUAUUUUGUAGAUAAAAAAAUUUCAAUAAUUAAUAUUUAUUUGUAGAAUUUCUUAUUGUAUGUAUUUAUAUUCAGUUAUAAAUUAUAUAAUUAAAUUAGAUUUUUUUCGAUCCGUAAAUUUGUUUAACCCGUGGAUCAGUAUUAUCGUCAUUUAGUGAUCGAUAAAUGAUGAAUUAAUACUGAGGGUAUAAUUUAUUCAUUUGUCUGUUAUAUACCUAAGUAAUUUAUUUGAAUAAAUUAAUUUAGGUUAUAACGUCACAUCCCGUCAAUAUAUAAUUAAAUAAGAUUCGAUGGGCAACGAUGUUUCAUAAAUUUAUUCGCGGGACGGUGCACGUUCUUCAAAUGUUAUAUAUGUGAUGAAAAUUUGAUAAUUCGUAGUACAGAAUGUCAUAAAUUUAGAAUUCUUCGAUUAAUUUUAUUACAAAUUUUUUAAUUCAAAAGGCCGAGAAUUCAGUCUUGCUCAUUUGACGAAAAUUUUUAAUAUUACGUGAUACAAGCUGUAUUAUUUGAAUAUUUUGUCAAUUUUUAAUUUAUUAUUAAUUUGCACCCAUACGAUAUUACGAUACAAUCCAUAUUUUUUAAAUUGAUGACAAUUGCAACAUUUAUUUUAUGAAUGUCUUAAAUGAUAAUGCGACCAAUGAUCAGAUGAAUUAAUUGUAAAUGUGCUCAGUAUCGUCUGUAUAUAUUUGUGUGAGUUGUAUUUAAAUAUUUGGGAGAAAUGAAAUAAACAAAUGCCUUCACUUCUGUGCAAAAAUAAAA